rnacentral:ncRNA from 1 species
AGAACCACACACGGGUGCUCGCACCAGCGGGCUGAGAGGACGGCUGGGGCCGUCGACCGUAGAACCUGUCCGGGUAAUGCCGGCGUAGGGAGAGAGUUGAUGGACACC